rnacentral:rRNA from 1 species
GAUGAACGCUGGCGGCGUGUCCAAUACAUGCAAGCCGAGCGAAUGGACGAGAAGCUUGCUUCUCUGAUGCUAGCGGCGGAUGGGUGAGCAAAACGUGGAUAACCUACGUAUAAGACUGGGACAACGUCGGGAAACCGGAGCUACUACCCGGUAAUAUUUUGAACCGCAUGGUUCAAAAGUGAAAGACGGUCUUGCGGCCACUUAUCGAUGGAUCUGCGCUGCAUUAGCUAGUUGGUAAGGUAACGGCUUACCAAGGCAACGAUGCAUAGCCGACCAGAGAGGGUGAUCGCCCACCCUAGACGUCGCACACCGUCCCGACGCCCACGGGAGGCAGCAGUCGGACAUCUUCCGCAAUGGGCGAAAGCCUGACUUGACAACGCCGCUUGAGUGAUGAAAGUCUUCGCAUCUUAAAACUCUGUUAUUAGGGAAUAACAUAUGUGUAAGUAACUGGGCACAUCUUGACGGUACCUAAUCAGAAAGCCACGGCUAACUGCGU